rnacentral:rRNA from 1 species
AGAUUUGAUCCUGGCUCAGAGCGAACGCUGGCGGCAGGCUUAACACAUGCAAGUCGAGCGCCCGUAGCAAUACGGGAGCGGCAGACGGGAGAGUAACACGUGGGAACGUACCCUUCGGUUCGGAAUAACCCAGGGAAACUUGGGCUAAUACCGGAUACGUCCGUAAGGAGAAAGAUUUAUCGCCGAAGGAUCGGCCCGCG